rnacentral:rRNA from 1 species
UACGAAGGGGGCUAGCGUUGCUCGGAAUCACUGGGCGUAAAGGGUGCGUAGGCGGCUUGGUAGGUCUGGUGUGAAAGCCCCGGGCUCAGCCCGGGAAGGGCACUAGAAACUGCCAAGCUAGAGUGCCGGAGGGGAGAGUGGAAUUCCUGGUGUAGCGGUGAAAUGCGUAGAGAUCAGGAGGAAUACCGGUGGCGAAAGCGACUCUCUGGACGGCAACUGACGCUGAGGCACGAAAGCGUGGGGAGCAAACAGG